rnacentral:rRNA from 1 species
UACGUAGGGGGCAAGCGUUGUCCGGAAUCAUUGGGCGUAAAGAGCGUGUAGGCGGCUCGAUAAGUCUGCUGUGAAAGUCCAGGGCUCAACCCUGGAAGGCCGGUGGAAACUGUCGGGCUAGAGUCCGGAAGAGGCGAGUGGAAUUCCCGGUGUAGCGGUGAAAUGCGCAGAUAUCGGGAGGAACACCAAUUGCGAAGGCAGCUCGCUGGGACGUUACUGACGCUGAGACGCGAAAGCGUGGGGAGCAAACAGG